AUACGGAGGGUGCGAACGUUAAUCGGAAUUACUGGGCGUAAAGCGCGCGUAGGCGGUUCGGUAAGUGGGAUGUGAAAGCCCUGGGCUCAACCUGGGAACUGCAUUCCAAACUGCCGGGCUAGAGUAUGGUAGAGGGAGGUAGAAUUUCCUGUGUAGCGGUGAAAUGCGUAGAUAUAGGAAGGAAUACCGAUGGCGAAGGCAGCCUCCUGGGCCAAUACUGACGCUGAGGUGCGAAAGCGUGGGGAGCAAACAGGAUUAGAAACCCCGGUAGUCC
rnacentral:rRNA from 1 species